GUGACUGUUUCUGGUAUUGAUUGCAUUUGUUGGCUGUACAGUGCAACCAUAGUCACACACAUCAAAACAUAUGGUUCCUGCCGACAGGGUCUGUAUAAUUAUCAGAUUUCCUGUGCGAUGGCUCCAUACAUG
rnacentral:snoRNA from 1 species